CCUACGGGAGGCAGCAGUAGGGAAUAUUGGACAAUGGGCGCAAGCCUGAUCCAGCCAUCCCGCGUGAAGGAUGAAGGUCCUCUGGAUUGUAAACUUCUUUUCUUCGGGAAUAAAAACUGGGGUUCUCCUCAGCUUGAAGGUACCGAAGGAAUAAGCACCGGCUAACUCCGUGCCAGCAGCCGCGGUAAU
rnacentral:rRNA from 1 species